rnacentral:lncRNA from 1 species
AAUAGUUUUAACCACUAUAUUAUCAAAUAAGGUCAGAAGAGUUUAUAUUUUGUUUUUUUUAAGAGGAAAAGAUAAUACGCAACCUGCUUCGCUUAUUUUUUAAAAAAUAAACUUAGCUGAAAAUGAGAAUCAAUUAUAAUUCGAACUAGAGAUCUCAGAUACUAAUCAUUAAAUUUUUNCCGGUAGGGCGGGGUGGAUCGCAUUGUUGGUCGAACAAGAGGAGACGACAGACGGGCCGGAGAGAAUGACGGUAGGGUUUUUCCCGUCGGUGACGAAGAUCGUGAUCGGGGUCAAGGUUAGGGUUAAGUAGUCCCCGUAGGGACAUUUGUCGGUCGUGGGGGCCGACCGAUACGCGGUGCACGUGCAGGGGUAGUGCCCAGCGUCACCGCCGCCCCCCGAGAGGCGAGUGCAUUGACAGGGGCCGGCGGCGGCGCAUUGCAGGGAGCUGCAAAGUGUGGUUGGAUGGUUGGAAGGACAAGAAGACCAUAAGGUGGGGGUGGUGAGGUCUAUGACAUAUUGGCUAUUGAAGUUUAGAGUGAGAGUGUAGAGAGAGGAGGGGGAGUGUUUGUGUAUGGGGGCUACAAGGGUAUUUAUGGGAAUGGCAUGGGCAAAAGUGGGAGGGAGUGAAGUGGAGAUGAUAAAAAGGAGGAAGGUGGUAAGGGUGAGUAAGAGAGGAGAGUAAUGAGAUUGAGACAUCUUGAUGAUAAGGGUGGGAGGAAUUAGGGAGUCAUAUAUAGAGGGGAGAAUAUUAAUAUUUAUGCCUAGAUGAGGGUGGUGAGAUUGUUGAUGGUGAUUAAGUUGUGAAAAUGUAAAUAUUAAAAGAAUUACUGUUUUCGAACAGCUUAAGUUUACGAAAAAUAUUGAAAGGUACGUAGGUGGAACAAUCUGGUCUUAUCACAUUUAACCCUCCAAAAUCAGCAUUUCAUGCGUGAUAAUAUAGGGGAUAUAUCUUGUAUUGGAUGGAAAGAGCCAAAUUAACUAUACAACUACAUAUAUCUAUACAUAAAGAAAAACGAAAGUCAAAAGUAAUGCAUGUGCACAAUUUGUAGCUUUUAAUCCCCAAGUCAUUGACAUCUAUUAGGGCGGAAACAUGAGUACAGAAUAUGGGCCUACUUUAAUAAUAUAGUGGUUAAAAACAUAAUUAGACAGUCUAAAAAAUUCAAAAGUACUUUUAAAUUUUUUAUACUAUAAAAUUACAGUUACAAUCGAUGGUGGUGAUUCCAACCGUAAUUUAAAAUACUAGAAGAGAGAAAAACUAGUAAGCGAUUUAAAAUUUUUUAAAUUUUUUAUAGUAUAAAAAUAAUAGUUUUAACCACUAUAUUAUCAAAUAAGGUCAAAAAAGUUUAUAUUUUGUUUUUUUUUAGAGAGAAAGAUAGUACGCAAUCUGCUUCGCUUAUUUUUUUAGAAAUAAAUUUAGCUAAAAAUAUGAAUCAAUUAUAAUUUGAACUAAAGAUCUCAGAUACUAGCCAUUAAAUUUUGUACUACUUACAUUAGGUACGGUCAGUAUAAGAGUUUAU